GAUGAACGCUGGCGGCGUGCCUAAUACAUGCAAGUCGAGCGAACGGACGAGAAGCUUGCUUUUCUGAUGUUAGCGGCGGACGGGUGAGUAACACGUGGAUAACCUACCUAUAAGACUGGGAUAACUUCGGGAAACCGGAGCUAAUACCGGAUAAUAUUUUGAACCGCAUGGUUCAAAAGUGAAAGACGGUCUUGCUGUCACUUAUAGAUGGAUCCGCGCUGCAUUAGCUAGUUGGUAAGGUAACGGCUUACCAAGGCAACGAUGCAUAGCCGACCUGAGAGGGUGAUCGGCCACACUGGAACUGAGACACGGUCCAGACUCCUACGGGAGGCAGCAGUAGGGAAUCUUCCGCAAUGGGCGAAAGCCUGACGGAGCAACGCCGCGUGAGUGAUGAAGGUCUUCGGAUCGUAAAACUCUGCUAUUAGGGAAGAACAUAUGUGUAAGUAACUGUGCACAUCUUGACGGUACCUAAUCAGAAAGCCACGGCUAACUGCGUG
rnacentral:rRNA from 1 species